UCGUACAACGGAGGUGUGAGGGCUGUCGCUGACCUUCAAAGGUUGUGCACGCCCAAGCACUCUCUCACAUCCAUUUCACCCCCAUUUGUGCAUCACCGCGUGGGCCUCCUCUUUACGGAGAGGGCUUGCGUUUUCACAUCAAACUUGAUACAGUGUAGAAUGUCUUUUUUUUGCUUGCGGUCACACGCAAUCAAUA
rnacentral:misc_RNA from 1 species